GCUGUAGCCGCGCCGACGGCGGCCAGGACAGCGGCGGUUGCUGCGCCCGGUACUGGGGUCCCGGCCUGAGGCGCAGGCGCGGUGGACUCAGCCCGCCCCGGGCUGCAGCUCGCUGUGGACUCGUCAUGGCGACGGAGCAGAGGCCUUUCCACCUGGUGGUGUUCGGCGCCUCUGGCUUCACCGGCCAGUUCGUGACGGAGGAGGUGGCCCGGGAGCAGAUAGCCUCGGAGCAGAGCUCCCGCCUGCCCUGGGCCGUGGCGGGUCGCUCCAAGGAGAAGCUGCAGCAAGUGCUGGAGAAGGCUGCCCAGAAACUGGGAAGACCAUCACUAUCAUCUGAAGUUGGAGUCAUAAUCUGUGAUAUCAGUAAUCCAGCCUCACUUGAUGAAAUGGCUAAACAGGCAAAGCUUGUCCUCAACUGCGUAGGACCGUAUCGAUUUUAUGGAGAACCUGUAGUAAAAGCAUGUAUUGAAAAUGGAACAAGUUGUAUUGACAUCUGUGGGGAACCUCAGUUUCUGGAACUAAUGCAUGCGAAGUAUCAUGAGAAAGCUGCAGAGAAGGGGGUUUAUAUCAUUGGAAGCAGUGGCUUUGACUCCAUCCCAGCAGAUCUAGGAGUGCUAUACACCAGGAACCAGAUGAACGGUACUUUGACUGCUGUAGAAAGCUUCCUGACAAUAAAUACAGGACCUGAGGGGUUGUGUAUUCAUGAUGGAACCUGGAAGUCGGCAAUUUAUGGUUUUGGCGAUAAGGGUAGUUUAAGAAAACUACGGAGUGUAUCAUGUCUGAAACCUGUCCCAAUUGUUGGUACAAAGUUGAAAAGAAGGUGGCCAGUCAGCUAUUGUAGAGAGCUGAACUCGUAUUCCAUUCCUUUUUUGGGAUCUGAUAUAUCUGUUGUGAAAAGGACUCAGCGUUACUUACAUGAAAAUUUAGAGGACUCACCAGUUCAGUAUGCUGCUUAUGUGACGGUGGGAGGCAUCACCUCUGUGAUUAAGCUGAUGUUUGCAGGACUGUUCUUUUUAUUCUUUGUGAAGUUUAGCAUUGGAAGACAACUUCUCAUAAAAUUCCCAUGGCUCUUUUCCUUUGGCUAUUUUUCAAAACAAGGUCCAACACAAAAACAGAUGGAUGAGACAUCAUUUACAAUGACAUUCUUUGGUCAAGGAUACAGCCAUGGCACUUGUGUUGAAAAGAACAAACCAAAUAUCCGAAUCUGCACUCAAGUGAAGGGACCAGAGGCUGGCUACGUGGCUACUCCCAUAGCCAUGGUUCAGGCUGCCAUGACUUUUCUGAGUGACGCCUCUGACCUUCCAAAAGGAGUGUAGGUUAAAGCAGUCUAAAGGACAAUCCCUGUCUGCCUUUGGAAUCACUGUGAAGGGGAAUGAGAACCGUGGGCGGUGUCUUUACACCUGGAGCAGCUUUCUCCAGAACAAAGUUGAUUGACAGACUCAACAAACAUGGCAUUGAAUUUAGUGUCAUUAGCAGCUCCGAAGUCUAAACGUUUGAAGACUAACCGAAUCAUAAAAUGCACAAACCGCGUCUGUAUUUGAUAUGUGAAAUUCUUCUAUAAGCCUAUCUGACUGUAUGUGGACUGUCAAGUAUAAAAUAUCUGUACAUUAAAAGCAGGAAAUUAUACUAUCUUAUCCUAAACUUCAUAUCUCAGCUGUUUUUAUGAUUUUAUUGCUUGUGAGAGGAAACUAACAUUCUCCUUACGUUUUUAUUGACAAGUGAACUGGAAGGUCAGAUGGUGAAGAGAGCCCCUGUUGGUGUUGCUGACAGCAUUCCUUAGUGACGGAGCGUGGCUGCUGUUAGGCUGUGGCAGUAGAGUCUGCCUUCCCUGCCCUGGUGUUGUGGAAUCUCACCCUCCUCUAAGUUCCUCUGCGUAGCAUGUGAGCGUUUGCUAAGUGAAACUGUACUUCUACUUCAGUCUGCUUUCUCACCCAUCUACUCCAUGGACUGAUCUUGGAUUGUUUAACUCAGUUGAAUAAUAAAGGGUUAUUUAUUGAGUGA